GUUUCCAUAGUGCAGUGGUCAGCACGUUCGCCUUACACGCGAAAGGUCCCUGGUUCAAACCCAGGUGGAAACA